rnacentral:rRNA from 1 species
GACGAACCGAGCGAACGUUGUUCGGAAUCACUAGGCUUAAAGGGCGCGUAGGCGGGCCGCCAAGUCCGUGGUGAAAUCCCCCGGCUCAACCGGGGAAGUGCCUCGGAUACUGGCGGCCUCGAGGGGGGUAGGGGCGUGCGGAACUUCCGGUGGAGCGGUGAAAUGCGUAGAUAUCGGAAGGAACACCGGUGGCGAAAGCGGCGCGCUGGACCCCAUCUGACGCUGAGGAGCGAAAGCGUGGGGAGCGAACAGG